rnacentral:misc_RNA from 1 species
AACGCACGAGACCUGCGGACCUGCGGAAGGAUCAUUACAAAUCUUUGGGGGCCAGUCGCUGUGAAUAGCAGUGUGCUGGUCUCACAUUAGCACAGGGUCGCAAGGCCCUGAUGUUUACGCUUGUUUGUUUGACAGAGUUAGUUGAGAAUAUAAAAGACAACUUUCAGCAACGGAUCUCU